rnacentral:rRNA from 1 species
UACGUAGGGCGCAAGCGUUGUCCGGAAUUAUUGGGCGUAAAGAGCUCGUAGGCGGCUUGUCACGUCGGAUGUGAAAGCCCGAGGCUUAACCUCGGGUCUGCAUUCGAUACGGGCUAGCUAGAGUGUGGUAGGGGAGAUCGGAAUUCCUGGUGUAGCGGUGAAAUGCGCAGAUAUCAGGAGGAACACCGGUGGCGAAGGCGGAUCUCGUGGGCCAUUACUGACGCUGAGGAGCGAAAGCGUGGGGAGCGAACAGG